GUGAGUCAUCGAAUCUUUGAACGCACAUUGCGCCCGCCGGUAUCCCGGCGGGCAUGCCUGUCCGAGCGUCAUUGCAACCCUCAGGUCCUCGCGCCUGGUGUUGGGGCCCUGCGCGGCAGGCCCCGAAAGACAGCGGCGGGUGCGUCCCGGAACCGAACGCAGUAGUUACCUCUCGUUCCGGCCCAGGGCGCGCUCCAGCCGUAAAACGCUCCAACUUUUCUCAAGUUGACCUCGGAUCAGGUAGGAAUACCCGCUGAACUUAAGCAUAUCAAUAAGCGGAGGA
rnacentral:misc_RNA from 1 species